rnacentral:lncRNA from 10 species
CCAGCUCCCCCUUCGUCUUCCACCAUGAUUGUAAGCUUCCUGAGGCCUCACUAGAAGAUGAACAGAUGCCAACACCAUGCUUCCUGUAAAAUCUUCAGAACGGUUUUUUCCACUUCCCCAGAUGGUGUCUGUGGGAUUGGCUCUCACUUUCAAGCUUCACUGACCCUAGAUGAUGGACUAGGAUCUGCUUUGGACAUCUGAGCCCAGGCUAAAGGAGGCAAAGGACAAGAGCUGCCCGCUCUUUCAGAAGCAUCUCUCAGAGAGUGACAUCCCCCUGCACACAGCUGCCAUGUCUGUAUGGCUGACUUGGGAGAAAUGCCAGAAAGGUUGGCAUGAGUGAGCAACUGUGAGGAGACCAUCAGAUGGAAACACCCAAGAGGCACUGAAAUGAUCAGGACUAGCUGAACUGGAAAGGACAAAGGCAGAAGAAAAGUACCCUCAAUGUUUGGGCACCUUGGGUCCAAAUAGAGUUUAUUUAAUAAGGACUUACAGUGAUUUAACUUAAGGUUUUUGCCUUCAUGAUGGGUUUAUCAGGGUAUUAAAUGCAUUUUUAAUUUAGGAUAUUUUUGACUAACAAUGGGUCGAUUGAGAUGUAAACACUUUGUAAGUCAAGGAACAUCUGUAUAUGAAUAAAAUCACAAACUGACCAAGGCCAAAGAGUUCUCCAACACAUUGAUUUCAAGCUCAUGAACAAAGUAUCUCCUUUAAAACAUCCUAAGAUUAUCUAAUCCAAUUUCCUUAUUCUACAAUUAAGACUCCUGAAACCUAGAGGGAAGGUGACUCAACCAGACUCCAAUCCAGCUUGCUUCCAAGAAUGUGAACCAACGAAUCUAUGUAAUCUGCUCUAUCCAUUUCAACAUAAGGAAUGGUGUUACUUGAAUUGUUCACUCUCUAGGACUUUCAUUUGUUUCAUUUCUUUUCCUAUUUAGAAUUAUAGUAUGUGAAGCCUGAAGGCAUUAUAGGGAUAAUCUAGAUCCAAACCUUAUUUUCCAGAGGAAGAAAUGAAUGCACAUAGAGGAAAAGUAGAUUGUCCCAAGGUCAUCUAAUGGCACAGCUCAGAUUGGAAUCUCCAUUUCCUCAUCUCAAACCAGUGCUCUGUCAACUAAAAUAGAAUACUUAAAGAAUGCUGAGGCAUUGAGAGACAAGUAAUUGGAUUCUGAUACACUGUCAAAUAUUAAGAAUGAAUAGCUGUAAGUUCCUUAUUUGACAAAAGCCAAGAUUCUCAUCUUUAUUUUCCACUGAGAAAUAUCAUGCUAGAGACAAUCUUUGCAAACUUUGCUUCUAAGAUGCUAAGUCCUGCGGCAUGUAAUCUUUUCUUUUUUGUGAGUGAGUUGGCCUAAUGCCUAGAAGUUUCAUUACAUUUCCAGAAAGUCUUCUCUGGUAAUUUCAUGAAGCAUAUUACCUGUUUUAUCUUGAAAUGUCUUUACCUUCUAGGAGGUUUACUCAUGAAAGCAAUGCUGAAAAAUACAAUUUGGUUGUUUAAGUGGGAGACUUAGGUUAUUAAAUGUUUAUUUCCUUGGGUAAGAAAAUAUUUUCCUCUCUUUAAGGGAGUGUGGUUGUUAUUAUGAAAAGUUUUAGAAGUUAAAAUUGCUGAUGUACCUGAGGAAAGCCAAAUGUCACCUGUAUAUUUUUGAUCCUCAUUUCUUUGGCUCAUAGUCCAUUCUCUGUAUUUUCUCCAAAUUUUCAUCAGUCUUAGAAAAAUAUAAACUUCAUAAUUCUGGAGUCAUGACAACUUGUACUUAUUUUAAAUGCAAUUUGUGAUAUUACUUAUUAUUCUCUUUAAAGUAUUUUAAACUUCACUAUUUUUAUCAUUUGUAGAUGUAGAUAUUAAAUUUUGUGAAUGAGUUACUAAUUCACAUGGUUUAUCUAUAACUAUCUAUAAAAGUAUACAGUAAAAAUUUCCUUUCUCUACUCCAUUUUUCUUCUAUUCAGUUUUUAUUCUCUCAUCCCUCAAUUGGUGUUCAAUGUUACUGGGCUCUUGUGUAUCUUUAGCUAUUUUUCGUACACUUAAAUUCAAAUAUAUAUUCCCUAAAUUACCCAAUUUCUACAGACAUUAACAUCCUCACAUUCAUAUCUGCACAUUGCUCUUUCCACCUAACAAUAAAUCUUAGUUAUCUUUCUAUGUCAUUUGACAAAAAAACCUCUGUAAUAAUUUGUUAGCUUAAUAUUUUAUUCAAUUCUCCAAUCCUACUAAUGGACACUUGGAUUGAUUCUAAUCUUUUGCUGUUAGAAAUAAUGUUUCAAUAAAUACUCUUGUAAUAUGUCAUUUUGCAAGGAUAUGAGUAAAGUUCCUAGAAGUAUAAUUGAUGGAUCAAAGAAAAAACAUCUGUAAUAUUAAUUUCUGUAAACAACUUGCCCUCCAUGUGGGUUGUAUCAGCAAUAUAUUAAUGUUUUUUCUUCACAGUUUUCCCAACAUAGUGAGUUACCAAAAUUUGUUAUUUUCUUAACAAUCUGACAAACGAAAAUAGUGUCUCCAGCUUAUGCUUCUAGAAAGAAUAUGAUCGUUUACUCUAGGCCAAUGUUCACACUGCAACAAUUAGAAAAAUGCGAUUAAUUAUACUGAGUUUUUUGAGCUAAGAUUAUAGGGGCUUUUCCAUUUUUAUUAGUUCUUGGUUAUUAUAAAACUACUAUAAACAUUCUUAUACAUGUAUUUUGGUGAACAUAUGUCUUCCUUUCUCCUGGAUAUAAACCAAGAAUGAUAUUACUGGGUUAUACUGUUGGUAUGUGUUUAACUUUCUUAGAAAUUGCCAAAUGGUAUUUACAAAAUGGGUGUAUCAUUUUAUAUCCCUACCAAGAAUGUGUAAGAGUAAAAUUAGCUCUACAUUGAGGGGUUGAUAUCUGAGUUCAAACUUAAGUAAUACAGCCAGUCACUGAAAGCCCUGAGGAUAAAAGAGCUCCCAGUAGAGCAACACUAAGCUCAAAGAACCUGUGGCAUUUCUACGGGGAUAUUCCCUGCAACGUUAAAUUUAAUGUAUUCUAAAGUUUCACAUCAUAUGCCCCAUUGGUGGACUGUAAAUUCAAUUCAAGUUUUACCAAGAGAUAAUUUUUGAUGGAAUAUAAGGGACUAGCUUUUUUUUUCUACAAUAAACACUUAAAAAUGUUUUCCAUGUUGUAAAUGCAGCUUAACCAGUAACCAUAAUGAUAGACAUUUAAAUUACUUCUACUAUUUUGUUUUAAUACAUAAUGCUGUGAAAUUAACUUGUAAUAUGAUCUCAAAAGUACAUGAAGGUAUAAAUUGUAUAAAUUCCAGAAGUGUAAUCUCUGAGUUAAAAAAAGAAAACACUUGUAAUUUGAUAGAUAUUUUAAAAAGUGAACUUGUCAAUGUGCUCUCCAAAUUAUAUUAUCAAGAUCUGCUGAAUAAGCUAAAAUAUGGUGAGACUUAGCAUGCUGAUAGAAGAGGCCACACAUUUUUGACCAUUAUUCAAAACCCAACUUCUUAGCAUUUCCUAAUAUUUCAAAAGUAUAUUUGGAAAUCUCAUAGGAGUCUUUAUUUAAAUCAUCAGCAACUCCUUAUCUUAUUUCAUCUUUGGCAGUUUCUUAGAUAAUUAUGACAAUAUUAAUGUAAAAAUACAAAUGAUAAUGUAUGAUAUAUUUCAAUGUAGCAAGAAGAGAGGAUUUUGGAUGUUAUCACUACAAAUAAAUAAUAAGUGUUUGAGGUUAUGAAUAUGCUAAUUAACCUGAUUUGAUCAUUACACAAUAUAUGCAUGUAUGAAAACUUCACAUUGUACCCUUUAAAUAUAUGCAAUUAUUACGUGUCAAUUAAAAACAAAAUAAAACUUUUAAAGGU